rnacentral:tRNA from 1 species
UUAAUCCACUUGGCUACGUCCGCC